CUCGUUUAAUUUGAAAAACGCGAAGGGGGUGCGAGGUCAACUGAGUGGGCAACCUCCUCCCAUAAUACUCGUAGUUGCGAACGAUACAAUCUUGUAGGUGCGCAGUCGAGUUUAGUUCUUGUAGCCGAAUAGUCAAAGGCUUGUCAUUGUUGUAUUACAACAGGUCCCUAACAAACGCAUGGCUGACAUUUAGUAUAUAGACGUACAUCAUGGGCUGCACCAGCAGCGCUCCAAACAUGGCAGACAUACAUUCAAAUAGCGCAGAAAAUGUGAAAGAAGAAAAAACCUUAGAGACAUACCCUGAGACAAAAAGCGAUGAACUGGAACGUAACAUUGUUGAUAAUGAACAAAGUAAAAUUGUGCUUCCUUUGUGUGAUAAUUUAGAAGACAAUAUACAAUUAUCUAGAAAUAGUUCUUUCAUAAAAACAUCAGCCAUCCAUCAAGUGGAAAAUGGUGAACUGCACGUUAGGUCAGAAUCUACAUCUGUCGUGGAAUAAGAUGGCUAUCUGUUAUACAAUAACACAAGCAUACCUUUCGAACACUCGAUGUUGAUCAUGUUAAAAACAUCGUAGAACAGCAUGAAAACUCAGAACCUCAUGCAGACCUCUCAACCCAAAAUGAACUACCAGCAUUAAAAGAAGUAGUGAAUCAAGUUUUAUCAGAAAAUAUAUUUCAAAGUAUAGAAAAUAUAUCAACACUUCCCGACAAUGAGAGCGGUAGUGAUGAAAAUGUAUCGAUUCAUGAAAAAAGUAUCGAGCCGCACGAUACAUGUGAGAUCAACGAGGACUUAAAAGAAAAUGACGAACAAGAAAAAAUUUUGGAAGAAUCAAUAAGUCCUAGUCAAUCAGAAUGUAGUCGAGCAACAAGAUGGGAAGCGCUCGCCGACAUAGCUGCAGAACUGCCGCCAACUCUCGCAGUCGAUCCUUUAACUGGGCAAAUUUACUCGCUUGCUAAAUAAAUUAAAUAAGAGUUGAAAUAUUUAUCAAUCUCUAUAUUUUUUAACUUUUAUCAAUUUGAAACAGUCGCAUUUUUUAAUUGUCAACGUUAGACGUAAAAUUAUGAUUAAAACAAAAACCCUACCUGGGUAUACUAUACUAACUACGUAGGUUUUGUUCUUGAAAUCAAAAUAUUUUGCAAGAUAAGCUGCACCUGACCUUACUGUAUUUUGCAUGCAGGUAUGUGAAAUGCUUUUAAAUCUACAUAAUGUCAACAUAAUUUAUACGCGUUUAAAAUAAAAACGUGCUAUUUGCUUACUUUGCUGCUGCUCUAGCUGUUAUAAAGGUUAGUAAUUUACAUCAAAUGGAAUACGCAAUUGUAGC